rnacentral:ncRNA from 1 species
UCUUAUCCAGAGAGACGGAGGGACAGGCCCGAAGAAGUCUCGGCAGCGGAUUUAUUAAAUACCGUGCCAAUUCCUGCAAAUGCUAAAUUAGCAUUUGAAAGAUGAGA